UAAAAUCAGUAGAGGACUGUCCUCAAGAGCAAUCCCCUUCUGCACCAAACACCACUUCUCAAGGUUCAACUCAACAGAUGUCUGACUAACUUCUAUUGCAGCUCUUUGUCUUGAAUAGACCCUUGGGCUUUAGUUACAGACUGGGCCCUAACACCCACCUUUAAUUCUUCACUGCUUCUAGUGGUUUCUGAGCUCAAUCCAUCCAGCAUGACAUCCAUGUGGCAUCAAGAUCUUUUUUUGGCAUAUUUUAGGACUGUGGGAAAGGGGUAGUUAAUUUUGCAUAGUUAGAAUAUUGUUAGGUAAAGGGAGUUAGUGAUAUAAAUAAAUAGGAAGAUUGGAGGGAAAGGAAUUGAUUCAUAUUUGUUAUCAUUUGUAAAUUGAGUACUACCCCUUUGGAAAAGGAGAGUAAUAGUUGUGAAGUGGAAACCUUUGAAAGAGUGUUCUCUCUCCUGUGUUCUGUUCUGUUGAAAUCAAUCUAUCUUUUCUUUUCUCUAUUUUUACAGUUCCAGGUUGUGAACAGUCUCAUUGAUGAACUAGGUUCUGAAUAUGGUGAUUGAUAACUGUUGCCAUGCAGUUGCAGUUCCAGCAGAUCGAGCUUUAUGAUAUACACUAGGCCUUGCAUUAUAAGGUUCUGCACGUGAUGGUUUAUCCUGAAUUCUCUAAAGAAAAUACUUUUUUUUUUGUAUUUAUACACAGUGUAUUUUAAUCUUCCCUUGUAUGAUUGGAAACAUUUUCUUUGUUAUUAAAUUUGAUAAAUUAAUCACCGAUUCUUAAUAUUAAGUAUAAUCUGAAGAUGGAACUUAGCUUCAUUUUAGAUAUUUGUAUUUUGGCAACCAAUAAUUAAUUUAUUCAUUUCAUACUUCACUCACUUGCAAGGUUUGUAUUACCAGAAACACUAUGGAAAGACAUUAUAUAACAUAUAGGACUAAUAUCAGAAUAUAACUGGAGCAUUACCAAUUUUCAUUCCUGACCCUUAUCAUGCAAACAUCUUCUGCAUGUCUUGAGCAGGACAAGACAUGCCUUAGUUUACACUAAUAAAUGUUAGAAUAUACAAAAGUGUCUUAUCAUAUUCUAUCACAUUUUAAAUUAUCUUUUUGGUUUAAUUUCUCUAUUCCUCAAUUUUAUGAAUAUAUAAAAAGUAUUCAGACAUUAUGAUAUAUUUCUAGGAAUAUUAAUUCAGUGAGUAUUUUCUUUCAUGUCUUUUCUUUCCUCCACAUAUGUGGAGCAGUCUGCAGUGUCAUCCUCUUUGUCCAACUGUUUACAAUUUCAUUCUUUUUAAAAAAAAUGAAAUUAAUUUGUUUUCUACAACUUUAUCCUGAAAAUAUUUUACUUUCUGACUUUUUGCUCAAUUGUUAUGUACCUUGAUUUCUGAAAGUUCAGAUCUCCUUUUUUGUCUCCAUUGUUGUACUCCCUUGCCUUUGUUCAAAUAUGUGCUAGCUUUGGACCUCAUGUUGACUUGAGUGUGUCUCCUUCAAUAAUAUGUUUUUUUUUUGUCUUUAUUUUUACCCUAACUAUGUCCCAUGGAGUUUUGUCAGUGUCCCUACUCUUUACUUCUUCGGCUGACCCUAGUUUUUUACUGACUUUGUUUGUCUUCCAAUAUUUUAUAUCUUAUUUAGUAUUUGGAUCUCUCUUUUGAAUGCUUUGUGUUGUUUGUUUGCUGGCUUAGUCAGCAUCCUUUCAUUACAGAAAGGGUAAUCUGGAAAGUAGAACUACAUUUCAAAUGAUCUUUCCAAAAUAGAUGUUUGAAAGGGGAGUGUUGCUUGAGCUUCUAUUGGGUGCAUGAGGAAGUGGCUGUCCUUAAUUUGUGAUUGCUAUGUCCUCGUUUGAUUGUUUGGUAGCUGCACUUGUCUUCACACACCCUUGUUAUUUGGAGGUUGCACUUGGUUUGCUAUGACCCUGUACUUGUUUGCCUGCUGCUGCACACUUAAUUCACCUCAUCCCUCUUAUUGUUUGACACACAUGUUUAGUUUGUUGUGUCCCUCUAGUUGUUAGGUGGUUGUUCAGAAUUUUUGUUUAGGUUGUUCUUUCCCUGACAUUUUUAUGUUUAGGACUUGUUUGUUUUCCAUUAAAAGAGGAGAAUUUUUAUAAUGAGCUUGAAAAUGUCUUUAGACAGAUGAUCCUCCAGGAUUUUUUUCUUUCUUUAUAUACAAUAACUCAUUACAUACCACUUCAUCUUAUCAUGAUCUGUUCCUAUGAUUAGCUCAGAUUAAGUUUGAUAUUAACAAGGAUUACAUGUUUUAUGAAUACAUCAACACAUUGUGGUACAUCUCAAUUAAUAGCAACUAGCAAGAAUUCAACAACCAUAGAGUACUGUCAUCUAAUUAUAGAUCACCGCACAAUAAACAAUUGUUAACUUCAAUUGAGGAAAAACAUAUUGUUCAGAUAGGAUCAGAGUUGAUCAAAACCAUAAGGAAAUUUUAUCUUUCUGUCUCUCUCUCUUCCUGGUAUAUAUGCAGGCCCACAAAAAACUAUGGGGAUAAGAGGAUAGAGUAGGGACAAGAGAACAGAGCUCCCUGUGCAAGAGCCUCAUCAUUCAAAAAUAUAUGGACACAGCAACAACACAGUGAAAAAUCACUCUCCUAGAUGACCCUUAAGAUAAGGAGAUGUUUUUGUUUCUUUCCUUAGAAUUCAUUUGGUCCUUAUGUUUUCAUAGUUUUUAUUAUCGUACAUCAGCAUUGCAAUUUUAAGAGUUCAAUGAAUAUCAGUUUGUUCCUUGAUACAUAUUAUUUUUGGAAGUUGAAGUGAAUGUGCUCUUAACUUGUCACAAUCCCAACAGAAAGUAGCAAAGAGACAUCAUUUCUUCUAAAUACAUGGAGGUCACAUGAUUUUUGAGUUAGCCCAAACUCGUUGUACGGCCAAUUAUUUUUCCAACUUGUAUAUUUAAUGUGAACUCCCUUCAUCCAUUAGAAUUCAAAGUUUGCUUUACUCAUCUUCUUUUGAAGGACUGAACCACAAAUGAACAUAAUGAUAAAUUAUCAAAUACUCAUUUUUCUCUUUUCUUUUUCACAUUCCAAUCACUAUUUUCGGAUAAGAUUAAUCCUGUUUCACUAUUUGCUAAUUUUUCAUUGGAAGUAGUUCUUCAAAUAGAUCACUUGAAGAGAUUAAUGUUUAUUUUCUGAAUAUAAAUAAUUAAGGAUAGCAAAGAAGUAAUUGUGCUUUGCAAAUCAUACCAUAGAUAAUGUUGUGAACAAAAUUGCAAUGGGCCAGUUGAUGAGUGGGAUUCCAUCAGAACAUCGAAAGCAAUAGCUGGCAAUGCCAUGUGAAUAAGGUGGGGACACUUACACAUGCAUACCAAAUCCCAUCUCUUUCUUCUUCAUUAUUCUUCUUCACUUCUUACUUCACUUUUUUACAAAAUUCUUACAUAUAACAUUAUAUACACAAGUCACAAUUCCAUUCAAUGUUGUUUUCUUUUAAUUAUUACCCUGCAACCUUCUACUUGCUUCUCUGUUCAAUCUUGAAUAGAAGAGCAUGCAU
rnacentral:lncRNA from 1 species